CUGCUUAGCGCCCCCUUCAGCGAUCUCCUCCUUUUUCUCUUGUCACUCACACAUCUUUCCUUUUUCUGUUUCCCUUUUGUUUUAAAUCAAAGCCGUUUGCGUGUGUGUGUGCCAUCGGUUCCACAUAUAUAUAAACACACACACACACACACAUAUAUAUAUAUAUAUAUACAUACACAACUGAGCUCCGUUUUCGGGCUGACGAGGUCGCAGACAGACACGCGCACCUGUACCUCCUCCGACUAGACAGGUGUUCUCCCUUCCCUCUCUCUUGUUGGAUUCUGCGCCAGCAGACCCACCCACCCACCCACCUACCCACACACACACGCCCUCUUUUUCGCACGGAAAGGAUGCCGAAAGCCAACAAGCAUGCUGAGGUGAAGCCGUCCAAGUAUAAGACGAGCCUGUGCCAGUUCUUCUGCAAGGGCGAGGAGUGCCCGUACGCCGGCCGCUGCGCCUUCGCACACGGCGAGCACGAGCUGCAGACCGAGUCGAAGAACGUGGAGCUGCUCAAGGCUACUGGUCUGCAGCGCCUCGACGGCUUACACGCGCAGAAGGAGGUCGCCGUGGCGGAGUCCCAUACGCCGUCCAGCAACUCCGUUACCGGCAGCGCCACGUCCGAGUCACUGGCGCCUUCCGAGCCGGCGACCCCGACGUCGCCAGCGGUGCGCCCGCGCCGUCGAACCGUUAUGGUAUCCCUGCCGAAGCACAACACGCGUAGCGAGAUGUACCAGUCCCCGUACAGCGCGACACCAUACGAACCCUGCUACAGCGAGUACGGCCGCGCCGAGUACCGCUACCCGACGCAGCUGGCACAGCAGCCGGUGUACCACAUGCGCAGUAACGAGUCGCCGCACGUCAGCCUUUGCGCUCCGAGCAACGCGCACGACAACCAGUACUGCGACUGCCGUUUCUCGGCUACGUGCAGCCAGGGCCAGCCAUCCAAGUACCGGCACAACCCUUACGGUAUGGCGGGGCGCAUUGCGCAGUGCGCAUAAGGGCGGGCGGCCGCUGAUUUCCACGUGUUACGUCCCGGUAAGGAUGAGGCAAGCACUACAAACCGUGCGGUGUCGCAGCAAAUACCGAGGCAGUGAAAUAUCAGCGUCUCGUGCGUGCUUGUUUCGGCUUACGUGUGUGGGGUGUCUGUGUGUGUGUGCGUGUGCUCAUCUUCGUGUGCACGCGCGUGCCUGAGCGGGUGAGCCUCGCGCUCUCCCUUCCUCCCUCUCGCUCAGGAUGCGUGCGCAUGUGACGUCGGGUGGGAUGGGGCGCUUUGUAUUCGUCGCUACGACGGAUGAGCUCUCACCCCCCCCCCCCCCCCCCCCCCCCCGCGUCCGCCAACCCUCCCCUCCCGCCGGCUCAUCCGUCUCCUUUUCUGCCUUCGUUUCGCUCCUCUACUUCGUGUGUGUGCGUUGUCUCUCUCUCUCUCUCCCUCAUCCUCCGCUUACGCUGCAAGAUGUCUCUCGCCCUGCUACGGCAUGCCUCUUCUCUUCCCCUCUAAAUACGCGCCCCUAAACCCGUGCUUCUGCACAGACGACGGAAGGCGGGUGUGAGAGAGGUGUGAGGGAUGGGGAUGAAAAAGAUGUAUUAGCGAAGAAGCAGCAGCACCUAUAGUGGCUGUGGAAGUGAGUGAGCUUGAGAGUAUAGCAACUUGGCAGAGAGGCUUCAACCAGAGGCCGAUAGAGUACUGAUGGAGAGCAACGGCACCCCCUCUUCCUCUUCCCGGGAAGGGUGUUAUGUGACGCUGUGCGCUCAGCCUCGCACGCUCGCGUCACGGUCGGCAUUCAUCUUCCUCCAUAUGCGCCUUGUUUUGCUUCCUAGUUUUGGGGAUGGAUGUGUGGCGUAGCUGCGCAUCUGACUCCCGCCGUUGGCUCUCCUUCUCUCUCUAUAGUACCCAGAUGUGCAUGCGUGCGUGUCUGUGCAUGGGGUGGUGUUCUGGUUGACGCGAUUCAUAUCUCGCUCUUGUAAAGACUGAGAUGACAAGCCGUGCCACUGGGAGAAGAGGAGCACGGGAAAGUGAAGAAGAGACGAUGCCAGGUGCGAAAAUUCGAAGUGAAACGCCGAGAAGGGGUCGUAGGGCGUUGCUUGCAUGUGUAUGCGUGGCGCUCGAUCACCUCUGUCUUCUUCGUAACGCGUUUUUUUCCGUGCUCCUGCUAUGCUCUUCUCGUUCCUCUUUUCUCGUGUGGUUGAGUGAUGCACUUCGUGGGUCUGCUUGCUUUGCUUGCAGCGCACAUGUUGCGCAUCGAGUCUCUGGCUUCUCUCUCUUGCCAACUCUCUCUCUCACUGCUCAGCUGCGCAAGGGCAGAGCCACCUACGCACUUUUUCUCGCAUGCUUCUGCUUCACAGUUUGCGGUGUACUUGUGUGCGUGAAGGUGCGGCUCGCCGGCGUGGCAAAAGUGUCGCGUCUGGUAGGCAGCUGCCUUCUCUUUUUUCUCACACGCCGGCUGCUCUUUCUUCCACUUCUAACCAACCAGGCAUUGAUGCGCACACCCAUACACGUACGCACGAUCUAAGAAUGCUUCUCCGGAUUGUGCCAUACCGUCUCUGUUCCGUCUUGCUCAUGCUUUUCCAUUCCUUCUCUCCUACCUCUUCCGUAUGUGUGCGAGCCUUACCAUGACGCACACACAGACAGAGAGAGAGAGGGACUUCAAGAUGGCAUUAAUGGUAGACGAUGCAAAAGGGAGGGGCCAUACGGGGAAGACGGUCGGCGGCGAUGAUGGGUGGUGGGGGCAGUGACGCACCCGUUCCGAGAGCCGGCUAGACCCGUUCCCUCACCACCCUUCCUUCCUCAUCUCCGCGUCACACACGCUUGCCCACACGAACAGACACCUACACCGUCAGAGAGGGCCAGCGGCCUUUUCCUCUCCUUGUUUUUCUUUCUUCUCUUUAAAGUUCACUUGUAUUGCGUACCAUCGUCGAAGCGACGUCCCCCACACCCCCACCCGACCGAACACGCGCCCCGCUCCCGCCCCUCUCUCGACUUCGUUUUUGUUUCGCUCUUGUCUUUGUGCUUUUCCCUUGUCUCUCUACUAAAAGUUCUUUUCCCCCGCUCUUGCUCUCUCCCUUGCUCUCGCCCGUCGUCGGUUGUAGCGCUGCUAUAACACUACACUUCAGACGUGAAGAUGAUGACGGCCACGGCAGCGACACCGACGAACCGAAAUCGAAUCGGCAAUGGCACGUGAGGGCACGCGUUCAAGUCAGUGUUGACUUACGUGCGUCUUCUCUGCCGCUGCACAUGCGUCGAUUCGAGCGAGGAAGGCGAAGGAACAAGGGCGAAGCUUUUUCGAGGAAAGGUGAUGGCGGAUGGUGCACAGGGUACGGGGGUGGGUUGGGGACCGAAGAAAACCAAGAGUUAGGAGCUCGGCUGCUAUGCAUCAACCCUUCACCGUUUUUUUUUUAGAGGAAGCCACAAACAAUGAAAGGAGUUGACGGACACUGGCCAGCUCUGUACACGCCCAUAUCGACACACGCACACACAUACACACACACGCUCUGUCUUUCAGGCCAUGCCGACGAGGUGACGGAGACAACUUGACAUACGUGCGGCAUACCUCUCUCUGGGCUUCCGCGCCUCUCUUUGCCAGUGUAGCAGCGGUCUAGUGUACAUAUUUGUACAUAUGUGCACGUGCUCGUGGAUGUAAGACGCUUGGCAAGUGAUGCUCACCUCUUGAGCCGAUGAUGUGCAGAGUAAGGGGGGAAGCCCUUCAGGAAUUUCGGUUCCGCGGCAGCAUCAGCAUUGGUGAGUAACUACAUGAUGCUGCCCUCGCCUUUUGCAAAUGUUUGUCUUUCUGGUCGCCCGCGGUGGCGUACGCGCCAUGUGACGCGACUCGCCAGGAUUGCUCCACCCUCCCUCCCCCUCCCUCUCUCUUCCACACGUGCAGCUUCCGCACGGGUCCCUCCUGGGCUACGGGUGCGUGGGGGGGGGUGCAGAAAGGUGUCCGGCUGGCCCCGUUGUGGCAGAAUUCAGAGCUGGACGGCGUGCGGGGGAGUGAGCGGAGAAGCGAAAGAGGGAGAGAGCGAGGUGGGCAUGCCGUCGAAAGAAAGAGUGACUCAUAGCUGCGUCGUUGGGCGGUUCCCGAGUUCUAGGCAAAGGUGCGUCGACACGUGUGUGCAUGUAACUGGGGAGGGGCGAGGGCGGAAUCGUGUGCCGUGCGCGUGCGUGCCUUUCGUCCCUCGUUCACUCGUUUCGAAUUUUCACUUUGGUAACAAUAUGGUCGAAACGCGCGAGCGGAUGGAAGGAGGGGAGGCUGACUCCAACACAGGGUGCACACCAAGACAGGCAGAGGGACACACGUGCUUCUCUGGCUCGUUCGCCUCCUCCCUCCCUCUCCCCGCUUGCAGGCAUACACGCGCGCCUACGCGCCCUCCCUCCUAUCGUCGUCUCGGUUCUUGUUUUUUGGUCGAUCACGACUCUCACCUCGUCCCCCCGAGACGUGUGUCAGCUGCUCUCUUUCUCCGUCUCUCCCUAUCGCUGCUUGCGAUAAAGUCUGUGUUGUGUGCACACGCACGCGCAUUAUUGGGAUUACGUGCGCAUCUUCCUGAGUACGAUGCACGCCUUUUUCUUUGUUUUUUUUUUUUCUUGGUGUGCCAUGUACGCGCUACUCUCACCCGCGCGCGCACGCCGUCGCCGCCGCGCUGCCUCCACCUCCUCCUUGCGCCGAUUUCGCCCUGCCCACCGCAUCACCGGCGUGUUGCGCCGUUGUGUGCGUUCGCGUGUGCACACGUGCCGGUUAGGCGCGCACGCACGCCGACACAUUUGAUACGCGCAAAGCACGCGGGGCGGGACUGAACACCGGAAGGAGGCGGGUGGCUGUGGUUGCGCAAAACUCCUGGCGUGUAGCGGCGGCCCGCAAUUUUCGAUGUUUGCCAUGCCUUUUCUUUCUCUCUUGUCUCUUCUCGCUCACUCUCGUCUGCUGCACAGGCGACGCGUUUGGUUUAGAGAGCUGCGCGACGAGGAGACGCUAUUAUGCACAAUCGUAUUCUCUCUUUUCUCUGCUCCAGUCCCUUGGCUCCGCACCCCUUCCACACACACACACACACAAACACAACCAACGUAUGCGCACGUGCGUGUGUGAUGUGCGAUGUGUAAGUAUUCACGAAAGUUGAAAAGACGAAGAGCGGAGGGUAGAUGAUGGCCAUCACACGGCUCCUCCCUCAAAACGCGUCACUCACUCACCAGCACAUAGACGUGCCUGCGUCUUCUCUCUGCCUCCCUCUCGUACAUGUCUUUCUUAUCUCUCGUCUUCCCCUCCGCCGCUCCUCUCCUCGCCCCGUGCGUGUGUACGCAUGUGAGACGGUGAGCUGAGGCGGCGACGUGCGGGGUUUGUGCGUGUACAGAGAGAGGGAUGCGGGAGAGUGUGAUGCCCUGUGGGAGCAUAGGAUGAGAGAAGAGGGAAGCCAACAUCGACAGCAACGUGAGCGAACAAGGAAAAGAAACCAGAGCAGGGUCGGGAGCCUAGUGCGUGUGCAUGACCUCCCUCUGUGCUUCCCUUCUUUUUUAUUCUGCCUUCUCCGCUCUCUCCUUUCAUGCGGAGACGUUUUGUGGUUGCUCUGUCUGCGCUCCCUUUUCUCUCUCCUUUUAUGCGUGCCAUUUCUGCGUGGGCGUGCGUAUGCUGGCUGCAUGUCAUGCGAUCGCUUGCUCAGGGGACCUGGUGGAAGAACAAAGGCCCAAACAUGCGUUUCGACGGCAUCUGCUGCGCACCCCCCAGGCCCCUCCCUUAGAGGAGAACUAAUCCGGCCUUCGGUGCCGACGGAAGGAAGCCAGCGACGGCUGUGCGUGUCCGUCACAAACGCGCGCACACACACUCGCAGGCGCCGCGAUCUGCAUGCACCGCUGCAGCAGCAACGCCACAUCACACACGCGCACACUUCCUCUUUGCUGCUUUCCCUUUGUGUUUCUCGAGAAG
rnacentral:misc_RNA from 1 species